AUGAAUGUGUCUGCCAAGUCUAUCGUAUUGGACUCUCCCAAGCCUUCAGUACAAUGUCGAGAGACUAUUAGAUGCUUAAUUAAUGCGACUGACCCGUGGAUCUGCGGUGCUUCAGCCCCUUUAAGAAGGGUUUUGUGCGGAAGGUUGGGCACAGCUGGACCUCGUGAAGGGGAUGGAAAAAGGGGUGGGGAGGUUUUGAUGGGGCCAGUGGAAGGCCAGUGCCAAAGGUGGAAGGUCAGAGGAGUCCUCGUCCGCUCAGAGGUCAGGAACGUGUCUACAAAAUGCUUUAGUCUUUCCCAAACGCUUAAUACGGGAAGCGUUCGAUAAAGAUGAUCGAUCCCUCCUAUCCGUCCCCGACUCUUCCCCCCAAGCGACCCACCGAAGACGGCUUGACCGCGGAUUAACCAAACCCCCUCAAGCCUUCUACCAUCUGUGUUUGUGCGUCUGCCUCGUCCUCUGCUCUCUGCGCUGGGCUCUUUCGGCGGCGUUCCUCGAGCGGUGAUCACACCCCACGUUUCACUGGCGUUGCCCGAGUCACGAGGUUUCAUCCCGAUCCGGUCGUGUGGCGGAGACGUCGCCACCGGGAGCUAAAUUCUCUCCUGGAAACGGGCAUCACGGCUUCUGGAUUCUCCAGAUAGAGGCCCGGGACUCAACGGUCCCUCAACUAGGAGAUGAAACGGAGCGAUAACUAUUAAAAUCUUCUAAUAAUCUCAUAACUCACCCCCCCCCCCCCCCACCACAGGGCAGAUGCAAAGCGUGAUUUACCAACUUCUCACGCCGGCCUAUUUUCUGUCAAUUGGCCCAUAGAAGCCGAGAGACUUGAUGAAGUUCUGGGGUCCGUUGCUCAGUGAGACGGUAUCCCGGCGAUAAAAGGACCAGAUGAACCUGCGUUUGGGGCUUUAUCGCUCAUAAAAGCGGCGUCACGGAGUCGUCAAUAAAGUGGCGGGCAGAUGUAGGCCGAUGAGACUGGCUAAACCUCGUCGGUGGUGGCUGGGAUGGCCGCUCUGGCUAAGGCGGAAUCAGUUUCCGGUCUUUUCUCCCAGGAAAUGGCAACCGUUAGAGUAGCUGAUGAAUUAGGGAAUGUCUGCUAAACUCAGUUGUACUGUACUCUGACACGGAAUGGUGCGGUGGAUGGCGCACGGGCCCGGAGUCAGAAGGUCCUGGGUUCUAAUCCCGGCUCAGCCGCUUGUAUUCUGCGUAUGCUAGACUUCUCUGUGCCUCAGUUACCUAUUCUGUAAAAUGGGGAUUGAGACUGUGAGCCUCAGGUGGGAAGGGGCCGUGUCCAAGCCUAUUUGCUUGUAUCCAUCGCAGUGCUUAGUACGGUGCCUGGCGCAUGGAAAGUGCUUAACAAGUACCAUAAUUAUAAUAGUGCUCUGCACAUAGGUAGUGCCCCAUAAGAUGGUAUUUAUUUCCCCUCCAUCCUCCAAGUGUGGCCUAGAGUAAAGAGCACAGGUCUGGCAGUCAGAGGACCCGGAGUCUAAUUCCCCUUCUCCCCAUCGAUUGCUGUGUGACCUUGGGCAAGUCACCUAACUUCUCUGUGCCUGUUUCACCCCCUGUAAAAUGGAGAUUCAGUAGCUGUUCUCCUUCCUACUUUAGAUUAUGAACCCCAUGCGGGACAGGGACUGUGUCCAACCUAAUUCACUUGUACCUACCCCAGCUCUUAGAAAAGAGUUUGACACACAACGAGCACUUUACAAGUAGCAUAAAACAAACAACUGUUCUUGACCCCAGUCCUCCUUUGCUGCCCUCUGGGGCUGUGUCUGGUUUUCCAGGUCAGGGUCUCACAGGCGGAGACAAUGGUGGUCUCUGCUCACACCCACCCCCCCUCCAACCCACCCCCCCACAUUCUCCCCAUUUGACUUCCCGAGCACAGAGAGCCUCGGAUUUAUU
rnacentral:lncRNA from 1 species